rnacentral:rRNA from 1 species
GUGGUCUCGGGGGGCAGCAGUGAGGAAUAUUGGUCAAUGGGCGGGAGCCUGAACCAGCCAAGUCGCGUGAGGGAAGACGGUCCUAUGGAUUGUAAACCUCUUUAGGCGGGGAGCAAUGCCGGGCACGCGUGCCCGGAGGGAGAGUACCCGCAGAAUAAGCAUCAGCUAACUCCGUGCCAGCAGCCGCGGUAAUACGGAGGAUGCGAGCGUUAUCCGGAUUUACUGGGUGUAAAGGGAGCGUAGACGGAGAAGCAAGUCUGAAGUGAAAGCCCGUGGCUUAACCACGGGACUGCUUUGGAAACUGU